AGUACGGCCGCAAGGUUAAAACUCAAAUGAAUUGACGGGGGCCCGCACAAGCGGUGGAGCAUGUGGUUUAAUUCGAUGCAACGCGAAGAACCUUACCUGGUCUUGACAUCCACAGAAGAAUCCAGAGAUGGAUUUGUGCCUUCGGGAACUGUGAGACAGGUGCUGCAUGGCUGUCGUCAGCUCGUGUUGUGAAAUGUUGGGUUAAGUCCCGCAACGAGCGCAACCCUUAUCCUUUGUUGCCAGCGGUUAGGCCGGGAACUCAAAGGAGACUGCCAGUGAUAAACUGGAGGAAGGUGGGGAUGACGUCAAGUCAUCAUGGCCCUUACGACCAGGGCUACACACGUGCUACAAUGGCGCAUACAAAGAGAAGCGACCUCGCGAGAGCAAGCGGACCUCAUAAAGUGCGUCGUAGUCCGGAUUGGAGUCUGCAACUCGACUCCAUGAAGUCGGAAUCGCUAGUAAUCGUGGAUCAGAAUGCCACGGUGAAUACGUUCCCGGGCCUUGUACACACCGCCCGUCACACCAUGGGAGUGGGUUGCAAAAGAAGUAGGUAGCUUAACCUUCGGGAGGGCGCUUACCACUUUGUGAUUCAUGACUGGGGUGAAGUCGUAACAAGGUAACCGUAGGGGAACCUGCGGUUGGAUCACCUCCUUACCUUAAAGAAGC
rnacentral:rRNA from 1 species